AUCUUGACCCCCCCCCCCUUGCCUUAGAAAACUGCUUGGCACAUAGUAGUUCAAUGAACAUUCAUUGAAGAUGUGUGACUUAGAGAAGUGAAGUCAUUUGCCCUCUAUUCAAAGCUAAUAAGGGGUGGAUUUAUACUCUGAACUCCCAGCCCGCCCCUGGCUCCCUUAGGAAGAGAAAUAGACAAACAAACAAACAAAACAGAUGACAGAAAGACAUACGAUUGGAGAAGGGAAUGAUGGGAAAGCCUUUUCUCUGCUAGAAAGAUGCUCAGUGGAACUUCUAUUUUGUAUUGUUUGGUUUUUUUUCAAUCCAUGCAGUAACCGAAGAGAAUUGUAUAAAAGGUGAAACUAGCAGACACUUCAGCAAGAUGGGAAUCUGUAGGUAAUUUGGAUCCAAAAUCCACUUGUGUUUCCAGGGUUUACAGUUGCUAGUUGUCAUAUGAAAGCACUUCAUGAACUUGGUGUGCCCUGUUCUCUCAGAACAGCUCUGUAGUGGACUAACUCAAGGUUAAGCCAGAAUUGCAGUCUGUCCAAUAAAAUUUGCUUUGUUCUUUUG
rnacentral:lncRNA from 1 species